GUACACGCUGUGACUAGCAUAUCAAUAAGCGGAGGAAAAGAAACUAACAAGGAUUCCCCUAGUAACGGCGAGUGAAGCGGGGAGAGCUCAAAUUUGAAAUCUUAAAGGGUUUCCCUUUACGAAUUGUAGUUUAAAGAAGUGUUUUCUGUUGAGGUUUUGGUAAAAGUUCUUUGGAAUAGGACAUCAUAGAGGGUGAGAAUCCCGUAUUUGACCUUUACUUUCAACUUUGUGAUACACUUUCAAAGAGUCGGAUUGUUUGGGAAUGCAGUCCAAAAUGGGUGGUAAAUUUCAUCUAAAGCUAAAUAUUGGCGAGAGACCGAUAGCGAACAAGUACCGUGAGGGAAAGAUGAAAAGAACUUUGAAAAGAGAGUUAAACAGUACGUGAAAUUGUCAAAAGGGAAGCGUUUGACACCAGUGUUGUUUUUCUGAAAAUCAAUUAAAGAACUGUUUAUGCUAAGCUGUUUAGACUUUAUCAGCUAUCUGUUUAGUUUUGAGCUUUUCUUUAAUGCACUUUUCAGUUAACAAGUCAACAUCAACUUCUUUUGCUGUAAAAAAGCUUGAGGAAGGUGGCUUGAGAUUCGUCUUAAGUGUUUAUAGCCUCUUGCCUAUGCAGUCGGAGAGAUUGAGGUCUGCAGCGUAGAUCCUUCGGGGCUAGAUGCAUUUGUGCUAAGUUAUAGCAUUUCAUAGACAACUUGUUGACUAUGAUUUGUCUUGUAGCUUACUCGCUUAUGUUAUUUUACCUACGCUUAGGAUGUUGACGCGCGUGUGUGCGUG
rnacentral:rRNA from 1 species